AUUCCCUAUGAUGUUUGUCUGAACCAUGCUAAUGCUGAUGUGCAUUGAUGAACUCAUUGAAUUUUAUCCUGAGGGAAUC